UGACCUCGGAUCAGGUAGGAAUACCCGCUGAACUUAAGCAUAUCAAUAAGCGGAGGAAAAGAAACCAACAGGGAUUGCCCUAGUAACGGCGAGUGAAGCGGCAACAGCUCAAAUUUGAAAUCUGGCUACUUUGUAGUCCGAGUUGUAAUUUGUAGAGGAUGCUUUUGGUGAAGUGCUUUCUGAGUUCCCUGGAACGGGACGCCAGAGAGGGUGAGAGCCCCGUACAGUUAGCAACUGAUCCUUUGUAUAGCUCCUUCGACGAGUCGAGUAGUUUGGGAAUGCUGCUCUAAAUGGGAGGUAUAUCUCUUCUAAAGCUAAAUAUAGGCUAGAGACCGAUAGCGCACAAGUAGAGUGAUCGAAAGAUGAAAAGCACUUUGAAAAGAGAGUUAAACAGCACGUGAAAUUGUUGAAAGGGAAGCGCCUAUGACCAGACUUGUCUCUAUCAGUUUUGGUAGUUUUCGGACUGCUUUACUCUGUUAGUACAG
rnacentral:rRNA from 1 species